GAGAUCAAAGAAGUUCGCGCGGGCGACAUCGCGGCUGCUAUCGGCCUGAAAGACGUGACUACCGGUGACACCCUGUGUGAUCCGGAAAACCCGAUCAUUCUGGAACGUAUGGAAUUCCCUGAGCCGGUAAUCUCCAUCGCGGUAGAACCGAAAACCAAAGCUGACCAGGAAAAAAUGGGUCUGGCUCUGGGCCGUCUGGCGAAAGAAGACCCGUCGUUCCGCGUAUGGACUGAUGAAGAAUCUAACCAGACCAUCAUCGCUGGUAUGGGUGAACUUCACCUAGAUAUCAUCGUUGACCGUAUGAAGCGUGAAUUCAACGUUGAAGCGAACGUGGGUAAACCUCAGGUUGCUUACCGCGAAGCGAUUCGCGCGAAAGUUACCGACAUCGAAGGUAAACACGCGAAACAGUCUGGUGGUCGCGGUCAGUAUGGUCAUGUUGUUAUCGACAUGUACCCGCUGGAGCCGGGCUCUAACCCGAAAGGUUACGAGUUCAUCAACGACAUCAAAGGUGGUGUAAUUCCUGGCGAGUACAUCCCGGCCGUUGAUAAAGGCAUCCAGGAGCAGCUGAAAUCUGGCCCGCUGGCGGGUUAUCCGGUAGUUGAUCUCGGUGUGCGUCUGCACUUCGGUUCUUACCAUGACGUUGACUCCUCUGAGCUGGCGUUUAAACUGGCUGCGUCUAUCGCCUUUAAAGAAGGCUUUAAGAAAGCAAAACCAGUUCUGCUUGAGCCGAUCAUGAAGGUUGAAGUAGAAACACCUGAAGAGAAUACCGGUGACGUUAUCGGCGACCUUAGCCGCCGUCGUGGUAUGCUCAAAGGUCAGGAAUCUGAAGUUACAGGCGUUAAGAUCCACGCUGAAGUACCGCUGUCUGAAAUGUUCGGAUAUGCAACUCAGCUGCGUUCUCUGACCAAAGGUCGCGCAUCGUACACUAUGGAAUUCCUGAAGUAUGAUGAUGCGCCGAACAACGUUGCUCAGGCCGUAAUCGAAGCCCGUGGUAAAUAAGCCGCAGGGUUAAAAACCAAAAUCCCGUGCUCUCUCCUGAAGGGGAGAGCGCUAUAGUAAGGAAUAUAGCCGUGUCUAAAGAAAAAUUUGAACGUACAAAACCGCACGUUAACGUCGGCACCAUCGGCCACGUUGACCACGGUAAAACUACCCUGACCGCUGCAAUCACCACCGUACUGGCUAAAACCUACGGCGGUGCUGCUCGUGCAUUCGACCAGAUCGAUAACGCUCCGGAAGAAAAAGCGCGUGGUAUCACCAUCAACACUUCUCACGUUGAAUACGAUACCCCGNGUACCCCAAACCGACACAGGUGGUCAGGUAGAGAAUACCAAGGCGCUUGAGAGAACUCGGGUGAAGGAACUAGGCAAAAUGGUGCCGUAACUUCGGGAGAAGGCACGCUGACACGUAGGUGAAGUGAUUUACUCACGGAGCUGAAGUCAGCCGAAGAUACCAGCUGGCUGCAACUGUUUAUUAAAAACACAGCACUGUGCAAACACGAAAGUGGACGUAUACGGUGUGACGCCUGCCCGGUGCCGGAAGGUUAAUUGAUGGGGUCAGCGCAAGCGAAGCUCCUGAUCGAAGCCCCGGUAAACGGCGGCCGUAACUAUAACGGUCCUAAGGUAGCGAAAUUCCUUGUCGGGUAAGUUCCGACCUGCACGAAUGGCGUAAUGAUGGCCAGGCUGUCUCCACCCGAGACUCAGUGAAAUUGAACUCGCUGUGAAGAUGCAGUGUACCCGCGGCAAGACGGAAAGACCCCGUGAACCUUUACUAUAGCUUGACACUGAACAUUGAGCCUUGAUGUGUAGGAUAGGUGGGAGGCUUUGAAGUGUGGACGCCAGUCUGCAUGGAGCCGACCUUGAAAUACCACCCUUUAAUGUUUGAUGUUCUAACGUGGACCCGUGAUCCGGGUUGCGGACAGUGUCUGGUGGGUAGUUUGACUGGGGCGGUCUCCUCCUAAAGAGUAACGGAGGAGCACGAAGGUUGGCUAAUCCUGGUCGGACAUCAGGAGGUUAGUGCAAUGGCAUAAGCCAGCUUGACUGCGAGCGUGACGGCGCGAGCAGGUGCGAAAGCAGGUCAUAGUGAUCCGGUGGUUCUGAAUGGAAGGGCCAUCGCUCAACGGAUAAAAGGUACUCCGGGGAUAACAGGCUGAUACCGCCCAAGAGUUCAUAUCGACGGCGGUGUUUGGCACCUCGAUGUCGGCUCAUCACAUCCUGGGGCUGAAGUAGGUCCCAAGGGUAUGGCUGUUCGCCAUUUAAAGUGGUACGCGAGCUGGGUUUAGAACGUCGUGAGACAGUUCGGUCCCUAUCUGCCGUGGGCGCUGGAGAACUGAGGGGGGCUGCUCCUAGUACGAGAGGACCGGAGUGGACGCAUCACUGGUGUUCGGGUUGUCAUGCCAAUGGCACUGCCCGGUAGCUAAAUGCGGAAGAGAUAAGUGCUGAAAGCAUCUAAGCACGAAACUUGCCCCGAGAUGAGUUCUCCCUGAGACUUUAGGUCUCCUGAAGGAACGUUGAAGACGACGACGUUGAUAGGCCGGGUGUGUAAGCGCAGCGAUGCGUUGAGCUAACCGGUACUAAUGAACCGUGAGGCUUAACCUU
rnacentral:rRNA from 1 species